AUGAACGUUGGCGGCGUGGAUUAGGCAUGCAAGUCGAGCGAGAACCCGCAAGGGGGACAGCGGCAAACGGGGUAGUAACGGGUAGGUGACGUACCCUCGGGUCGGGGAUAGCCACGGGAAACUGUGGGUAAUACCCGAUAAUCUCCGGGAGUUUGAAAGCUUCUGGAGCAAAGGUGAGAUUCCACCUGGGGAGCGGCCUGCUUCGUAUUAGCUAGUUGGUGAGGUAACGGCUCACCAAGGCGACGAUGCGUAGGGGGUGUGAGAGCAUGACCCCCACCACUGGGACUGAGAUACUGCCCAGACACCUACGGGUGGCUGCAGUCGAGAAUCUUCGGCAAUGGGAGCAAGCCUGACCGAGCGACGCCGCGUGUGGGAUGAAGGCCCUUGGGUUGUAAACCACUGUCAGAGGGGAUAAAGUGUACUGAAGUUAUCUUCGGUAUUUGACAUAGCCUCAGAGGAAGCACGGGCUAAGUUCGU
rnacentral:rRNA from 1 species